UAGGGAAUCUUCCACAAUGGACGAAAGUCUGAUGGAGCAACGCCGCGUGAGUGAAGAAGGGUUUCGGCUCGUAAAACUCUGUUGUUAAAGAAGAACAUAUCUGAGAGUAACUGUUCAGGUAUUGACGGUAUUUAACCAUAAAGCCACGGCUAACUACGUGUCAG
rnacentral:rRNA from 1 species